GGGACGCUGCCAGUCACCGCAGCAGCCCCAGGCACCGGCUACUCCUGCCUCGCCCCCUCUCACAACUGCUGCGUGGUCUGUCUCUCGUGAAUCAAAAGCGAUGGGUGGAGCCAGUACUGACACCAGGUUGAUGAUGUUCGUCUCUUCCCAGCUGUUUCCAGCCAUGUCGUCAUGUUGGUAGCUUGAAAUCAGAGAGCUGGUUAUUAAACAUUUACCAGGACAUCAUUGGAUCUCACGUACCUAGAACUGAAAAGCACACAAACACACGUCAUCAUCAUCAACAAUAACAACCGCAACAA